rnacentral:piRNA from 1 species
UGGAUUAAGGUGUAAUUUACUGCAUCCAC